rnacentral:rRNA from 1 species
AUUGAACGCUGGCGGCAGGCUUAACACAUGCAAGUCGAGCGGAGCGAGGGUGCUUGCACCUUAGCUUAGCGGCGGACGGGUGAGUAAUGCUUAGGAAUCUGCCUAUUAGUGGGGGACAACAUUCCGAAAGGGAUGCUAAUACCGCAUACGCCCUACGGGGGAAAGCAGGGGAUCUUCGGACCUUGCGCUAAUAGAUGAGCCUAAGUCGGAUUAGCUAGUUGGUGGGGUAAAGGCCUACCAAGUCGACGAUCUGUAGCGGGUCUGAGAGGAUGGUCCGCCAGACUGGGGCUGGGACACGGCCCAGGCUCCUACGGGAGGCAGCAGGGGGGAAGAUUGGACAAUGGGCGGAAGCCUGAUCCAGCCAUGCCGCGUGUGUGAAGAAGGCCUUUUGGUUGUAAAGCACUUUAAGCGAGGAGGAGGCUACUAGUAUUAAUACUACUGGAUAGUGGACGUUACUCGCAGAAUAAGCACCGGCUAACUCUGUGCCAGCCGCCGCAGUAA